rnacentral:rRNA from 1 species
GAUGAACGCUAGCGGCAGGCCUAAUACAUGCAAGACGAACGGCAAGAUUUUUAGCAAUAAGAAUCCUAGAGUGUCGUAAGGGUGCGUAACACGUAUGCAAUCUGCCCUCAACAGGAGGAUAGCUCCCCGAAAGGGGAAUUAACACUCCAUAAGAUUGUGGUCCGGCAUCGGAGAGCAAUUAAAACUACGGUGGUUGAGGAUGAGCAUGCGCAUGAUUAGUUAGUUGGCGGGGUAACGGCCCACCAAGACGAUGAUCAUUAGGGGAACUGAGAGGUUGAUCCCCCACACUGGCACUGAGAUACGGGUCAGACUCCUACGGGAGGCAGCAGUAGGGAAUAUUGGACAAUGGGUGCGAGCCUGAUCCAGCCAUGCCGCGUGCAGGAAGACGGCCUUCUGGGUUGUAAACUGCUUUUGCCAGGGGAUAAAACGGCUCUGCGGAGCUAAUUGAAGGUACCUGGUGAAUAAGCCACGGCUAACUACGUGCCAGCAGCCGCCGUAACAC